rnacentral:rRNA from 1 species
GCAGCGCGGGGCAACCUGGCGGCGAGCGGCGAACGGGUGAGUAAUGCAUCGGAACAUGUCCAUGUCGUGGGGGAUAGCCCGGCGAAAGCCGGAUUAAUACCGCAUACGCCCGAGAGGGGAAAGUGGGGGACCGCAAGGCCUCACGCGAUUGGGUUGGCCGAUGUCCGAUUAGCUAGUUGGCGGGGUAAGAGCCCACCAAGGCGAUGAUCGGUAGCUGGUCUGAGAGGAUGAUCAGCCACACUGGGACUGAGACACGGCCCAGACUCCUACGGGAGGCAGCAGUGGGGAAUUUUGGACAAUGGGGGCAACCCUGAUCCAGCCAUUCCGCGUGAGUGAAGAAGGCCUUCGGGUUGUAAAGCUCUUUUGUCCGGAACGAAACGGUGAGCGUGAAUAUCGCUCGCUACUGACGGUACCGGAAGAAUAAGCACCGGCUAACUACGUGCCAGCAGCCGCGGUAAUACGUAGGGUGCGAGCGUUAAUCGGAAUUACUGGGCGUAAAGCGUGCGCAGGCGGUUUUGUAAGCCAGAUGUGAAAUCCCCGGGCUUAACCUGGGAAUGGCAUUUGGGACUGCAAGGCUGGAGUGUGGCAGAGGAGACUGGAAUUCCUGGUGUAGCAGUGAAAUGCGUAGAUAUCAGGAGGAAUACCGAUGGCGAAGGCAGGUCUCUGGGCUGACACUGACGCUCAUGCACGAAAGCGUGGGGAGCAAACAGGAUUAGAUACCCUAGUAGUCCACGCCCUAAACGAUGUCGACUGGUUGUUGGGGGUUUGACACUCUCAGUAACGAAGCUAACGCGUGAAGUCGACCGCCUGGGGAGUACGGCCGCA